rnacentral:rRNA from 1 species
UGGGGAAUAUUGCACAAUGGGCGCAAGCCUGAUGCAGCCAUGCCGCGUGUAUGAAGAAGGCCUUCGGGUUGUAAAGUACUUUCAGUCGGGAGGUAGGUGUCAAGGUUAAUAACCUUGGCAAUUGACGUUACCGACAGAAGAAGCACCGGCUAAUUCCGUGCCAGUAGCCGCGGUAAUACGGAGGGUGCAAGCGUUAACCGGAAUUACUGGGCGUAAAGCGCACGCAGGCGGUUGAUUGAGUCAGAUGUGAAAUCCCCGGGCUUAACCCGGGAAUUGCAUCUGAUACUGGUCAGCUAGAGUCUUGUAGAGGGGGGUAGAAUUCCAUGUGUAGCGGUGAAUUGCGUGGAGAUGUGGAGGAAUACCGGUGGCGAAGGCGGCCCCCUGGACAAAGACUGACGCUCAGGUGCGAAAGCGUGGGGAGCAAACAGG